AUUGAACGCUGGCGGCAGGCUUAACACAUGCAAGUCGAGCGGAGUGGCGCACGGGUGAGUAAUGUAUAGCUAAUCUGCCCUACACUAGAGGACAAAAGUUGGAAACGACUGCUAAUACUCUAUAGUGUAGGAUGAGGCUAUAUUGUAUCAGCUAGUUGGUGAGGUAAUGGCUCACCAAGGCUAUGACGCAUAACUGGUCUGAGAGGAUGAGCAGUCAAACGGGAAGGGAGACACGGGCCAGACUCCUACGGGAGGCAGCAGUAGGGUAUAUUGCUCAAUGGGGGAAACCCUGAAGCAGCAACGCCGCGUGGAGGAUGACACUUAUCGGAGCGUAAACUCCUUUUGUUAGGGAAGCGGUACCUAACGAAUAAGCACCGGCUAACUCCGUGCCAGCAGCCGCGGUAAUAC
rnacentral:rRNA from 1 species